rnacentral:rRNA from 1 species
UGGUCAGCCACACUGGAACUGAGACACGGUCCAGACACCUACGGGUGGCAGCAGUCGAGAAUCAUUCGCAAUGGGGGAAACCCUGACGAUGCGACGCCGCGUGGAGGAUGAAGGCCUUAGGGUUGUAAACUCCUGUCAAGAGGGAAUAAGCAAGUGAAGGUACCUCUAGAGGAAGGGGCGGCUAAUUCCGUGCCAGCAGCCGCGGUAACACGGAAGCCCCGAGCGUUGUUCGGAUUCAUUGGGCGUAAAGGGUGCGUAGGCGGCGCGGAAAGUCCGGCGUGAAAGGCAGGGGCUCAACCUCUGGACUGCGUUGGAUACUUCCGUGCUUGAGGACUGGAGGGGAGACUGGAAUUCACGGUGUAGCAGUGAAAUGCGUAGAUAUCGUGAGGAAGACCGGUGGCGAAGGCGAGUCUCUGGACAGAUCCUGACGCUGAGGCACGAAGGCUGGGGGAGCGAACAGGAUUAGAUACCCUGGUAGUCCCAGCAGUAAACGAUGUGAGCUUGAUGUGGGGGGAUUCGACCCCUUCCGUGUCGAAGCUAACGCGAUAAGCUCACCGCCUGAGGAGUACGGCCGCAAGGCUAAGACUCAAAGAAAUUGACGGGGACCCGCACAAGCGGUGGAGUAUGUGGCUUAAUUCGAUGCAACGCGAAGAACCUUACCUGGCCUUGACAUGCAUUGUGUCGUCGGUGAAAGCCGGCUAGUCCUGGAAACAGGACGCUUUGCACAGGUGCUGCAUGGCUGUCGUCAGCUCGUGUCGUGAGAUGUUGGGUUAAGUCCCGCAACGAGCGCAACCCUUGUGGUCAGUUACUAACCGGCUUAGCCGGAGGACUCUGGCCAGACUGCCCUGUCAAACGGGGAGGAAGGUGGGGACGACGUCAAGUCAGUAUGGCCCUUAUGGCCAGGGCUGCACACGUACUACAAUGCCCGGUACAAUGUGAACCGAAACCGCGAGGUGGAGGAAAUCGCUCUUGAAAACCGGGCCCAGUUCGGAUUGGAGUCUGCAACUCGACUCCAUGAAGUCGGAAUCGCUAGUAAUGGCGUAUCAGCAACGACGCCGUGAAUACGUUCCCGGGUCUUGUACACACCGCCCGUCACAUCAUGGAAGUCUCCUGUACCCGAAGCACGUGCGCCAACCUUUCAGGAGGCAGCGUUCGAAGGU